GACGAACGCUGGCGGCGUGCUUAACACAUGCAAGUCGAACGGUAAGGCCCUGCUUUUGUGGGGUGCUCGAGUGGCGAACGGGUGAGUAACACGUGAGUAACCUGCCCUUGACUUUGGGAUAACUUCAGGAAACUGGGGCUAAUACCGGAUAGGAGCUCCUGCUGCAUGGUGGGGGUUGGAAAGUUUCGGCGGUUGGGGAUGGACUCGCGGCUUAUCAGCUUGUUGGUGGGGUAGUGGCUUACCAAGGCUUUGACGGGUAGCCGGCCUGAGAGGGUGACCGGCCACAUUGGGACUGAGAUGCGGCCCAGACUCCUACGGGAGGCAGCAGUGGGGAAUAUUGCACAAUGGGCGGAAGCCUGAUGCAGCAACGCCGCGUGCGGGAUGACGGCCUUCGGGUUGUAAACCGCUUUCGCCUGUGACGAAGCGUGAGUGACGGUAAUGGGUAAAGAAGCACCGGCUAACUACGUG
rnacentral:rRNA from 1 species